GAAUUGCGAUAAGUAAUGUGAAUUGCAGAAUUCAGUGAAUCAUCAAAUCUUUGAACGCACAUUGCGCUUUCUGGUACUCCGGAAAGCAUGCCUGUUUGAGAAUCGAUAAAUCAUCAUAUUAACUUUGUAUUAAAACACAAAUUUAACGUGGAUAUGAGUUUUUUUGCGUUGCAAUAACUUUAAACAAAAUGUCUAUGGCCUCCUUUGGAAAGGAUGAGCUCGAGUGCAUGAAAAGCUUUAGCUUGAUUUCAUUCAAUGCUUGUUGUUUUUAAUUGAGAGUCAGAGAUUCAACUAAUCACUCAACACUUUUACAGUUUGUAAUAGUUUUGAACACUUGGUCUCAAAUCAGGUAGGAAAACCCGCUGAACUUAA
rnacentral:misc_RNA from 1 species